AAUGCUUUCGUAGUUCAAUUUGUUACUCGUUCAAUGAAAUAACUCACUCUGUUCGAUGUUAUAAGGGAACAGAAUGAAAAUGAGCUGUUCAAUAUUCGUUUUUGGCUUCUUUUAAAUCGAUUCAAUUCCUCUAAUUAUCAACAGUUAGUUUGUGUAAAAUCGUUUUUGCUUAUUUGAAAUACUAUAAUUUUCGUUUCUGCUUUCCUAUGAUUAGGUUGAUCUGCAAGCACAUGAUAGAACUCAUGGAAUUGGACAGAAGGAGUGGAAUUGAAGUUUAUUAACAGCUAGUUUGUGUAUAAUAUAGUCUCAAAGGCUCAUUAUUGCUUUAUGAGAAACUAUACCUAAUGUUAGGGCUAAUAUGCUAGAUUAAUCAUUUCUCUGUAGCUUCAAGCUUAAGUUCUUAUGUGUGAAUUUCUGUUCCUUAUGUGUAUAUUUCCAUUUCUUGUUUUGGUCUGCCUACUAACAAACACAUCAUAAAGAGUUUCUUCAUACAAUUUAAAUAAGUUGUAUUUGGUUUUGUAGAACCUGUUUUUACUCAUGAUGUGUUUGAUAUCUUGUCAUCAUGCAGUUCAAGGGAGUCUCAAGGGACAUGAUGAUUGGUCUGGCAAUUCCUCCUUGUAUGGUAAAACCUACUACUCUGACACAUGACACAUCAAAGGAAGUCUAACCAAUAAAAAACACUCGUGAAAUUGUGCAAUUUGUGCAGAGUACAAGUAAGAUACCAUGCCCCUCUUUUCUGAUAGUAAAUUCUAAUUCCUAAAAAUUUAUCUUUAGCAUGUCUAUGGUAUUUGGUUAUAUUUCACUUAAUAAUAUGAUCUAUGUCCAAAUACAACAAGUUGUCACGUGUACCUUUGCUAAUAAUACAAUAAUUAACCACAUGGAAAAGGCUAUUAACUACAGUUAGUUGACUAAUUAUUUUGAUGCUGUCCUAUACUUAAUACCCAUAAGGCUAACAGUUUUUAUUUUUAUUACCCUGUAGAUGUUUUACUGUGUUGUUUGCAAAGUAAGUUAUUAAGUUAUGCUUUCUUGAUGGGACCACAAAUAUAGAUCCUCAUUAUUGUUCGUUGCAUGUAAAUUUGGAUAUGAAUUUAACAUCUAAUAAUCUGUUUAACAAAUAGACAUCAUAUAUUCAUUACAUGAUCAUUUCUAGAUUUUGCACAGACCAUUUGUGAAUCAGGUUUGGUCUGUUAUGCCUGAGUAAACCUUCGAUUUAUUAAUGUUCUUUGUGAUGUUUUCUGUGCUCUCUGUUAUACCUGAGUAAACUUUAGAAACUAAAUCUUUUAAUAAAUAAACCUUUCAAUUAAAACGUCCUAUUUUGAGUCACACUUGCAGGCAUUUUUUAGAGAGUUUGCAUUCUACAACACCAUGUAUAACCUUUUGAUUAUAAAUCUUUAGAUCACCUUCUGUACAGAUUUUUCCCCACACAUGGAUUUCCGAAUAACAUUUGGAAAUUGGAAGGAAAAAAAACGUUAUCAGGUGGGGAGUUGGAGUAACGCGCUAAGUCAUGGAUGGCAACUUUUGGAUUUUGGCAAUAAAUAUCUGAAGGGAAGCCCUUAAUUGGUUCAAGGUAAGUUCUUAUUCUAGCUAGACUUAAAAAGGGAUAUUGGGGCUGCAAUUUCUGAAGAGGACUAUCCAGUUCUUGAAGCACAAGCCAUUAAAGUGGUUCUUCAGCCACAAAAGCAAAAGAAGAAAAAGAAGCCAAGGGGUCAAAAAUCAUGCUCCAUUCUGUAACUUUGUGCACAAGAUUUUUAGUAUGAAUUGAAGGGAACAUGGGAAGAAAGUUUGACUUUUCAAUGCUGAAUGCUCAAGUGUUGAUCACUGUGGCCUUUAUAUAGUUUUUGAUGAAUUUGCUCACUUUUAUUGUGUCUUGUGUUGUGUAAGUUGAUAUAUGGAAUUUUUUAACACCAAAUAGUUGAGACUUUGGGGACUAUUUGGGUAAUGUAUAAUAUGGUUUUAUCUUAUGUAGAUUGUGGAAAGAUGUUGAUUUUAAGAGGGUUGAAAAUGAAGUUACUUUUGAAUGGUUA